rnacentral:rRNA from 1 species
ACCCAACUUCUGAAAUGUUGACCUCGGAUCAGGUAGGAAUACCCGCUGAACUUAAGCAUAUCAAUAAGCGGAG